rfam:Oryctolagus cuniculus chromosome X, whole genome shotgun sequence.
GGAGCUGUGGCACAGUGGGUUAACGCCCUGGCCUGAAGUGCCAGCAUCCCGUAUGGGCACCGGUUCUAGUCCCGGCUGCUCCA